CCUACGGGAGGCAGCAGUGAGGAAUAUUGGUCAAUGGGCGAGAGGCUGAACCAGCCAAGUCGCGUGAGGGAUGACGGACCUACGGGUUGUAAACUUCUUUUAUAUGGGAGUAAAGCGAGUAACGUGUUACUAUUUGAGAGUACCAGAAGAAAAAGCAUCGGCUAACUCCGUGCCAGCAGCCGCGGUAAUACGGAGGAUGCGAGCGUUAUCCGGAUUUAUUGGGUUUAAAGGGUGCGUAGGUGGUGAAUUAAGUCAGCGGUGAAAGUUAGUGGCUCAACCAUAAAAUUGCCGUUGAAACUGGUUGACUUGAGUAUAUUUGAGGUAGGCGGAAUGCGUGGUGUAGCGGUGAAAUGCAUAGAUAUCACGCAGAACUCCGAUUGCGAAGGCAGCUUACUAAACUAUAACUGACACUGAAGCACGAAAGCGUGGGGAUCAAACAGGAUUAGAUACCCCGGUAGUC
rnacentral:rRNA from 1 species